AAAGGAGUACAAAUGAAGAAGGGAAAUAGUUUAAUAACUGGGAAAACUGAUGUUAUCUUAAGAGAAGUUAAGUUCUUUGACAAAUUUAAAUACAAUCUAGUGUAGGUAUAGACUUCUUGACCCUUAUUAAGCUGUCUAAUGAGUUUUGCAGAUGGAAAUGAUAUAGACAAAAGUUAGGAAAGGGUUCUCAGUAAUGGAUCUUCUAUAUUGUCACAGCCUGUGAUGUCGGAAGAGAUGGAAAUCCUCUCCCUAAAGGCGCAAUAUUUUAAAGAACUGAUUAAUUCUGACUGAGUGAAGGAAAAUGUCAAGGAGGAGGCUUGAGAAAAUCUGUGUUAGGAAGAACACCUGAACACAUCUGUGAAUAUGAAUUCAGUCUGUGACUGACCUAAAGAUCUGAUGCAGGCUUUGCUGGACUGGAAAACUUACAGUGCUGGAUAACUAAAAAAAAAAAAAAAAAAAAAAAAUACCAUACCACAGCACAGGAAAAUGAGUGUUUUUAAUGCCUAUCUCAAAAAGAAGUUGAAUGUUUGAGUACCAACAGGAAAGGAACAGAACCAGUCUUUCUGUUCAGCAUAAAUUUAAAAUAAAUAAUGACCAAAAGCUAGGGAAGUUGUGUAAGAGUCUCUUUUUAUGUAGGUGAACUCAUCUGAGAUCAGGUCUCCUCCUAUGUUUCCUUUCAAAGCAGGGAUGCAUGUUCUGAAGGAGGAGUAAAUGUGAUAAAGAAUUUCAUUUCCCUUUGGCAAUCCAGGCAUCAUCCUUAGGUGUAGUUAGUGGUAUUUUAAUUAGCAAGUAUUGUGUGUCAGCAGUAUCUCUAACAAAAUGGUACAAGCAAAUGAACAUCAGUAUAAACCCAGAAAUAUAUGCUUACUGUUUAUACUUUCCAUUGUUACAAUGAUGAUGUGCAUAUAUAAUGUAAAGUAUAAUUUAUCCCUCUAACAUAAUUGUAUGGAGUAAGUUGGGAGGAUAAGAACAAGGAUAAUUUGGAAAGUGAGAAUGAGAUAGAAAUCAAAUUUUAAUCUGUAAUGCCAACAUUUGCUUAAAGUAGGAAGUACUAUGAUAAAGUUGGCUAAAUUUGGGACAGAUUUUUGGCUUAAACAUUUUUCUUCUGGCCCUCAAUAAGGGGAACAGUGUUGAACUGAAAAUGAGUCAUUGACCAAGAAACUUGGAAAAACUCUAAGAAAUCUGUAAUACUUCUUCAUAAAGUAAGAGGUGUUGAGUUUUUUAAUUACUUGAUCAUUACUGUGGUUGAUCUAUAUUAACUUCUUAAACUCUGCUUGUCUUUGGUAUGGAAAUCUGUGAGUGUGGCUACCCACCAAUUUCAAAUGCAGAGGUCAUACCUCAAGAAAUAUUAAAUAAUUGUAUGAAAUAACUGGCAGAAAUAAUCUGCCCUAGAUAAUUUUAUUAUCUCAACACUUCAGAUCGGCAUAUCUUAAUGUCAGCUAUUGAUUUAGAUAUAUUAAACUGCAAAUUCAACUUCAAAUAUCAAAUAUUUAGAAGUAUGCUAUGGGAGAAAUAUAGAUGCAUCUCAAAUGUAAGUAUUAGCUGCUUUUUACUACCAAAUAUCCUCAGUGUGUCACUGCAAGUGUAGCUGAAAUCUGCGCUGUUAUAUGGUGAGGAUAUAUUUUGUUUCCAAAAUAAUCUAGAGACGCUAUGAUUUGGAGACCCAGAUGAUCUGCUGAGCAAUUGCUGAAUAUACAGACAGAGCAGCCUGCUCAUUAAGUGAAACCUUACUUCCUUUGUCCAGUUUCUGAAAAGCACUAAAGUUCAGCUAAAUCUGUAUGAAAUUCUUUCAUCAAGCUCUUAAGGUAUAUAGUCAUUUGGAAAAGCACCCCAUUCAUGAGACAAUAUUUGAACUUUUAUUAUAUACCAUUAAUGUUUGAGGAUCCUGCUGUAUUAGGAGAGUAUGGAUCAUUGUGAUCCUUAUUCAAAGAUAAAAUUCUCCUUAAAGUAACACUUGUGAUGAAGUGGGAAGCAGGAAAGGCAUGCUUUAAACUUUUAGCAUUGAUGCUCAAGUGAGAAUCAACAUUUUAGCUGGAACCCAUUCAGAUGGCAAGGGAUUUUAAAGAUUGGCCAAUAUAGUCCAGACUCUACAAUAUAACAGUAAGUAAAAUCAAGAGAAUAGUCUUUAUCCCAAAGCUUUCUUCCAAUAAAUUGCAUUCUUUGCAGAAACCAAAUCAGGAGACAAAUACCCAUUUCCUGAGUUAGAUAAGGAAUGGAAAAGAGUGUAAUUGACUGUCACAGGGGCCUCUUUACAAAAUUGGUUGGAUAAGUUAAUGAAAAUAAUUGGUCAUGAGUGUGUGUGCAUGGUGAAUGGAAGUGCAAAAUUGAGCAUGUUUAAAAGAUAUGAUCAGGUGGCUAUACUGGAGGGCAAUAAUGGAGAAUUGAACAGAAUAAAAAGAGGGAAGUGGGAAAGAAAAAAAAAAGAAAUGGCAUUCACUUGCUGACUGUUACAACAAAACUAAGAGCAGCGCAGAGAUGCAAAAUUGAUGGUAUAUACAGAAAAGGAAAAUUAGUAAAGAAUAAAUAGUUCUGGAUACACAUACAAGCUAGCUGUUUGCAUUUACAGAUGGAUAUCACGUCUCCAGUAUAUAGUUGCUUCAUAUCCCACUGGUUUGCGGUCUAGAAUACUCAACGCCUUAUACAGGCCAUAUGUCAGCAGAAGACUCUUCUCUUUGAAGUACAUUAGAAACACUGGAGUGUGGAAGUGGGUCUGGCUGCAUCAUCUGUGAGUCAGGUGCUUAAAGAACGCGUUCAUUACUGACUUGAACUUAGCAACACUCUAGCAAAUGGGUUUUACAAAUGUUACAGCUUAAUUAUAAUAGCUUUGACAAAUUCCUUAGAGGAAGACCACCUCCCAACACGUGUUGUGCCUUUCUGAAGUUCAUGAGUAAAGCUUCCACUUCAAAUUUCAAGCUUUAAUUUCCUGUUUCACUAGCUACUUCAUAUUUUCACAGGAAUACAAAUGGAUGUGGUGUUCAAGUCAAGAGGAUGCAACAAUUAGGAAUAAAAUAAGUCAGCAGUAAAGGAAAAUAAAAGAAAAUGUGGGUCAGCCACUGAGUGAGAUGAUGCCCCGGUAACAGCAGACACUGAGAAGGUUAGGGGCUCACCUGCUGGAGAGGAGCCCUGCAGAGAAGGAACUGGGUGUCCUGGUGGAUGAGAUCAUGAGCUAAGCAGUGUGCCCUUGUGGCCAAGGAGGCCACUGGUAUCCUGGAAUGCAUUAAAAAGAAUGUGGUGAGAAGGUUGAGGGAGGUUCUCCUCCCCCUCUACUCUGCCCUGUUGAGGUCACAUCUGAGGUACUGUGUCCGCUUCUGGGCUCCCCAGUUCAAGACAAGCCAUAGCAUUGUAGGAUAUCUUGAGUUGAAAAGAAUGCAUAAGGAUCUUCAAGUCCAACUCCAAAAGAAAAAGAGAGAACUACUCAAGAGAGUCCAGCAGAGGGCUACAAAGAUGGCUAAGGGGAUGGAAUAUCUCCCUUAUGAGGAAAGACUGAGAGAUCUGGAACUGUUCAGCCUGGAGAAGAGAAAACUGAGUGGGAAUUUAAUCAAUACUUGUAAAUAUAUCAUGGGUAGUCGUCAAGAGGAUGGGGCUGUUCAACAGUGCCCAGUGGCAAAACAAGGGGCAAUAAGUACAAAAUGGAACACAUGAACUUACAUCUGAACAUGAGAAAAAAAAUUCUUUGAGGGUGACAGAGCACUGGAACAGGCAGUGCAGAGAGCUUAUGGAGUCUCCUCUGGUGAUAUUCAAAACUGCCUGGACACUUUCCUAUGAGAAAGUGUAGGGAACCUGCUUGGGCUGGACAAAAUGAUUGUAAGAGGUCCCUUCCAACACCUACAAUUCUGUGAUUCUAUAGAACAUUUUGAUUGAGUUAUAUUAAAAGAUGAAUGUUUUCAAGGCUCAUCAAUAAUCUUCCUCUUGUUUCUUUUACCUUUCCACAUGUUCUGUCACGGUGAGUCAUAAAAUACAUGUAGCUGUCUAAGAAUUGUAGGCUCUUAUUCACAUGGUUUCUUGGGA
ensembl:lncRNA